UAAUAAGUGUUUAUGGCACUUCUUAAAUCCAUAUCCACCUUGUGUGCAAUGUCAGUCCGAUUUUCUUAUGGAAGCUGCCAAACAUCAACUUAUCUUUUAACACUGUCUGUCUGAAAACUAUUAUGAAUAAACAAUUCAAAUA
rnacentral:misc_RNA from 1 species